CUUCUACUCCCUCCGUUCGGAAUUACUUGUCAUAGAAAUGGAUGUAUCUAGACAUUUUUUAGUUCUAGAUACAUCAAUUUCUGCGACAAGUAAUUCGGAACGGAGGGAGUAUCUU
rnacentral:pre_miRNA from 1 species